AUUGAACGCUGGCGGCAUGCUUUACACAUGCAAGUCGAACGGUAACAGGCCGCAAGGUGCUGACGAGUGGCGAACGGGUGAGUAAUGCAUCGGAACGUGCCCAGUCGUGGGGGAUAACUACUCGAAAGAGUAGCUAAUACCGCAUACGAUCUAUGGAUGAAAGCGGGGGACCGUAAGGCCUCGCGCGAUUGGAGCGGCCGAUGUCAGAUUAGGUAGUUGGUGGGGUAAAGGCUCACCAAGCCAACGAUCUGUAGCUGGUCUGAGAGGACGACCAGCCACACUGGGACUGAGACACGGCCCAGACUCCUACGGGAGGCAGCAGUGGGGAAUUUUGGACAAUGGGCGCAAGCCUGAUCCAGCAAUGCCGCGUGCAGGAAGAAGGCCUUCGGGUUGUAAACUGCGUUUGUACGGAACGAAACGGCUCUGGUUAAUACCCGGGGCUAAUGACGGUACCGUAAGAAUAAGCACCGGCUAACUACGUGC
rnacentral:rRNA from 1 species